AGAAUCAACGCUGGCGGCGUGCCUAACACAUGCAAGUCGCACGAGAAAGGGACUUCGGUCCUGAGUACAGUGGCGCACGGGUGAGUAACACGUGAAUCAUCUACCUCCGAGUGGGGAAUAACCUAGAGAAAUCUGGGCUAAUACCGCAUAACACUUACGAGUCAAAGCAGCAAUGCGCUUGGAGAGGAGUUCGCGGCAGAUUAGUUAGUUGGCGGGUAAUGGCCCACCAAGACGAUGAUCUGUA
rnacentral:rRNA from 1 species